rnacentral:rRNA from 1 species
AAUAUUGCACAAUGGGCGAAAGCCUGAUGCAGCAACGCCGCGCGAGGGAUGAAGGCCUUCGGGUCGUAAAGCUCCUUGACCACGGGUGAUAAUGACAGUAUCUGAUAAACAAGCCACCGCUAACUACGUGCCACCAGCCGCGGUAAUACGUAGGUGGCGAGCGUUGUCCGGAAUUACUGGGCGUAAAGGAUGCGUAGGUGGAUACUUAAGUGAGAUGUGAAAUCCACGGGCUCAACCCGGGAACUGCAUUCCAAACGGGGUACCUAGAGUGCAGGAGAGGAAAGCGGAAUUCCUAGUGUAGCGGUGAAAUGCGUAGAUAUUAGGAGGAACACCAGUGGCGAAGGCGGCUUUCUGGACUGUAACUGACACUGAGGCAUGAAAGCGUGGGUAGCAAACAGG